rnacentral:rRNA from 1 species
AUUGAACGCUGGCGGCAUGCCUACACAUGCAAGUCGAACGGCAGCACGGGUGCUUGCACCUGGUGGCGAGUGGCGAACGGGUGAGUAAUACAUCGGAACGUACCUUAUCGUGGGGGAUAACGCAGCGAAAGCUGUGCUAAUACCGCAUACGCCCUGAGGGGGAAAGCGGGGGAUCGCAAGACCUCGCGCGAUUAGAGCGGCCGAUGCCUGAUUAGCUUGUUGGUGGGGUAAAAGCCCACCAAGGCGACGAUCAGUAGCUGGUCUGAGAGGACGAUCAGCCACACUGGGACUGAGACACGGCCCAGACUCCUACGGGAGGCAGCAGUGGGGAAUUUUGGACAAUGGGAGCAACCCUGAUCCAGCAAUGCCGCGUGAGUGAAGAAGGCCUUCGGGUUGUAAAGCUCUUUUGUCAGGGAAGAAACACCGGCUCUAACACAGUCCGGGAAUGACGGUACCUUGAGAAUAAGCACCGGCUAACUACGUGCCAGCCGCCGCAGUAA